UACGUAGGGGGCUAGCGUUGUCCGGAAUCAUUGGGCGUAAAGAGCGUGUAGGCGGCCCGGUAAGUCCGCUGUGAAAGUCGGGGGCUCAACCCUCGAAUGCCGGUGGAUACUGUCGGGCUAGAGUGCGGAAGAGGCGAGUGGAAUUCCUGGUGUAGCGGUGAAAUGCGCAGAGUAUCAGGAGGAACACCGAUGCGAAGGCAGCUCGCUGGGACGUAACUGACGCUGAGACGCGAAAGCGUGGGGAGCAAACAGG
rnacentral:rRNA from 1 species